AAAUUUCCUAUCGCACGUCUGCUGCAGCAGUCUCCUGUUUCUCCUCCUACCUUCUCCAUUUUUCUAGUCCCUGCAGGGCAUAAUUGGAAUAUCAUUUGGAGAAAGUGUCAUGGAAGUUCUGCGUCCACAGCUUAUAAGAAUUGAUGGCCGGAAUUACAGGAAGAAUCCAGUCCAAGAACAGACCUAUCAACAUGAAGAAGAUGAAGAGGACUUCUAUCAAGGCUGGAGUGCAGUGGCGUGAUCUGGGCUCUCUGCAACCUCUACCUCCCGGGUUCAAGCAAUUCUCCUGCCUCAUCUUCCCCAGUAGCUGGAACUACAGGCUCCAUGGAGUGUGCUGAUGAGCCCUGUGAUGCCUACGAGGUGGAGCAGACCCCACAAGGAUUCCGGUCUACUUUGAGGGCCCCCAGCUUGCUCUAUAAGCAUAUAGUUGGAAAGAGAGGGGACACUAGGAAGAAAAUAGAAAUGGAGACCAAAACUUCUAUUAGCAUUCCUAAACCUGGACAAGACGGGGAAAUUGUAAUCACUGGCCAGCAUCGAAAUGGUGUAAUUUCAGCCCGAACACGGAUUGA
rnacentral:lncRNA from 1 species